rnacentral:rRNA from 1 species
GACGAACGCUGGCGGCGUGCUUAACACAUGCAAGUCGAACGGAAAGGCCCUGCUUUUGUGGGGUGCUCGAGUGGCGAACGGGUGAGUAACACGUGAGUAACCUGCCCUUGACUUUGGGAUAACUUCAGGAAACUGGGGCUAAUACCGGAUAGGAGCUCCUGCUGCAUGGUGGGGGUUGGAAAGUUUCGGCGGUUGGGGAUGGACUCGCGGCUUAUCAGCUUGUUGGUGGGGUAGUGGCUUACCAAGGCUGUGACGGGUAGCCGGCCUGAGAGCGUGACCGGCCACAUUAGGACUAAGAUACGGCGCAGACUCCAACGGGAGGCAGCAGUGGGAAAUAUGACACAAUGGGCGGAAGCCUGAUGCAACGACGCCGCGUGCGGGAUGACGGCCUUCGGGUUGUGAACCGCUUUCGCCUGUGACGAAGCGUGAGUGACGGUAAUGAGUAAAGAAGCACCGGCUAACUACGUG